AGCGAACGCUGGCGGCAGGCCUAACACAUGCAAGUCGAACGGAUCCUUCGGGAUUAGUGGCGGACGGGUGAGUAACACGUGGGAACGUGCCCUUAGGUUCGGAACAACUCAGGGAAACUUGAGCUAAUACCGGAUGUGCCCUUCGGGGGAAAGAUUUAUCGCCAUUGGAGCGGCCCGCGUCUGAUUAGCUAGUUGGUGAGGGAAAGGCUCACCAAGGCUACGAUCAGUAGCUGGUCUGAGAGGAUGAUCAGCCACAUUGGGACUGAGACACGGCCCAAACUCCUACGGGAGGCGGCAGUGGGGAAUCUUGCGCAAUGGGCGAAAGCCUGACGCAGCCAUGCCGCGUGAAUGAUGAAGGUCUUAGGAUUGUAAAAUUCUUUCACCGGGGACGAUAAUGACGGUACCCGGAGAAGAAGCCCCGGCUAACUUCGUGCCAGCAGCCGCCGUAAAAC
rnacentral:rRNA from 1 species